GGGGAACACCAUCCAGUGAAGUAACAAUAUGAUUUGACACAUAGGAGGAACCUAACCUGAAGGAAUGUGUGGCCUGCAGGAGGAACCUCUUAAGAUAUUAAUUGAAACAUUUGAAGGCAGUAAUCAGUGAUUGAAUCAGGAAGUUCCAAGUCAUCUAUUUUCCCGACUAAUCUUCCCCAUUCGAGUGCCUGUCAUCUUUCCUACUUGAGCUGGUUUCUUGGUUGCUGUUCUCUGUCUGUCAUCCAAUUCGGGAAUGCCAGAGACCCAGAGCUGCUAGCAGUGUUCAAUGGGCAGCAGGAUUUUCCAGAGCAUGUAAUAGGCGAAUGUGCAUGGUCAGUUUCCAAGAGCAGGACACAGUAUGAAAGCGGCUCUCAAACAUUUUUGAUUGCAGCCUUUUUCUCCACCUCAAGACAGUGAAACAUUAUUUGGGAAAAUUUUCACUAGCGUAUUGCUAACUGCUGCAUUUGCUGAGUUCCAUCAACUCAUGAGUUUUUAUGUGUGUACUCAGAGCACAAGAAUUGUUUCUGGAUCUAGGCUAUGGUGCUUUUCAGUUCUUGGAAAUAAUUUCCCUGAAAUGUCCUCUGAGAAAGUCAAGAAUUUCCCUGAAAUGAUCUCUGAGAAAGUCAAUGUGAUUUCUUUUGGUAUGGUACAGAAUAUGCUCUGUACGUAUAAGAGACACUGCCACUCAAAAUAGGCCCAGUGCCUAGCUGCAAGACUUAAAGUUGAGUUACAUCAUCUCAUUUGAGUGCCACAAAUCAUGCAUUGAAUUUUUCCAAGGCUCUGAAAGCACACAACUUUCAUAUAAUACAAGUCUACAUUUGCUUAUUCAAAAUCCCAAAUUGCCAGAUGUGUCUUGUAAUUUGAGAUUUUCUGAAUCUUAGAAAUGUAAUAUAAUGCCUCUACCACUACAUUAUCACCCCAGCAGGGUCUGAAGACACACCUUUUAAAUAAAUGCAUCAAUAUUUGUUGAAUAUUCAUACUUUGUAGGAUAAAUAAAAACUAUAAAUAAAUAUAUCAGUCUAUAUCAGGUUUUAUUUUCAAAGGAAUUUCAGUGACUCAUUUACUAAAAACUAACUUUGGGUUUCAGACUAUUUUGAGUUUUGAAAUAGAAGCUAAAACACUAUAGGCACCCUAGUGAAAACCAAGCUGGGUUAAUUAAUGCUAACAGACUUUUGCUAACAUCAGGUCUUAAUAUUUCUCAAUGUUCUGAUCUUUGGAGGAACAGUGGAAAAAUUCCCAGAGAAAAAAAUACUUAAAGGAAAAGAGAUGGAGUAAUUUCUCUUAAAUCUACUUUCCCUGGCCCCUCCUGCUUGAAUAUCUCUAAUAUAUUCUUACUAUGAACUAACUUAUUUGCUCUAAAUUUCCAACUUUCAACAAGAAGGUGAAAACCUCCAACUUAAUAGAAAAAUUAGGCUGUAAGGAUCCUAAGGCCAUAUAGCAAAUGUGGGAUGGAAGACUGACAAUGAAAUUUCCAUGAGUGAGUAUCAUCUAAUCUAUGGGAUAAGAUGGGUUAUGUUAUGUUCUGAUACAUAUGAGAGCCAGAGCUGGAAGGCGUGACUAUGUCACUAAGCACCAUGUGACCUUUGGUGAAUCCCAUAUCCUUAAUGUUUCAGUCUCCCUGUCUAAAAAAUGAAAAUUGGACUAUCAUUUUACGGUCCAUGUAGGAUCUGUAAUUAAAACAGCUUUAUUCACUACCAGGUGAAUUAUCGGUGUGGUAGCAAACAGCUAACGAUGGCAUCCUCUAGUUUCUGGAGGAUAUCCUUCAAGAAAAAAAUGCUACCCUGAAAGACACACAUGGAAAUUCAUUUCCUCUCUCCUUUUGGACAUUUUAUUCUACUCAUAGCAUAUUGAACUAUAUAUUAAAUGUCUCCAAUAAGGAUUUCAUUUAGAUUUAAUAUGUCAGAAUUGUAAAUGUUAAUGAAAUGCCAAAAGAGUGAUUAACAACAUAUGCUUUGAAGUCUCUCAAAUAUGUAACCCCCCAGAAAUUUUAUAAGAAAAAUGUCCAGACAUAGAACUUUACCCUGCAGUUUAUUUUUUUUUUCAGAGUCAAAAUAUCUCUCAAAUGCUCAGUUCUGAACUAACAGAAAAACAGCAGGAGGAUAAAAAAAAAACAAGGCUGAAUUUCAGUCACACAGAUCUCAGCAAGAAGCAAAAAUAAACUCUUUAAAUGAUGUUCCUUUUGCACGGCUCCCAGAGGCAGGUUUGGUAAGAAAUAGUUUGAAAGUAUACAUAUUCAUUCCCACUUCCCCCAACCUCUACUUUGCCCUGCUCUGUCUCUGUUGAUCUUGUAACUUUUUCCAUGUUAAUUAAAGAUUCCUGGGACUUCACUCUUUUUUUCCCUUCUCUGGGAGCCACCUAAGAACACAAAUAUUGAAACAGUAGCAGUCAGCUAAUUUUGCAUUAUUCUAAAUUAAGGAAAAUAUUCUAAUUUAAGGAAAACUUCUAGAUCACCUAGGAGUUUAAUGGUUCAAGCUCCCCCUUUAUCUGUGGAAUCUAGAAAAAAGCAGUGACUGUCUGUUGACACAACUAGUUUGUAACAAAGCUGUGGUGGAUCAUAGGUCUAAGACCAGUACAGUUGUCCCCCAAUCCCCCAUGCUACCCUUUCAUCCCAAAUUAAAAUAAGACAGUUUCCCUCGUAACUCACCAGUGCAGUAAAUCCCAUGCUAUGGCAUAGAGUGAGACAGCUUCAACCAUGACAUGAGCGUUAUGUAGUUGGGGUGGGGGGGGGUCUUACAAGUUCAGCAGCUGAGAAAAAUUAAGGGGAGAAUUGAAAAUUGUCUCCAGCUGGGCGUUAGCAUGUGCUAAACAGGGUUUUGAUGUUAAAGGGUUUUAAGUGCGUGACUGGUACACCUCAGGGCAAGGCCCACUCUUCCCCGAGAAUCUGUUCUUGCUUUUCUUUCUUUUCUUGUCUAAUCAGUCCCAUUCAGUUUUCAAUUCUCUUUCUCACUUUGCAAAGUGCCAGACAAAUUACUGGUAUCCUCUAUGAACCUCUGGUUUCUUUUUUGUUUUUGAACUCAUACCCCCUUAAGAAUAUUUCAGGGUAAGCAUUGCUCAAAACACAUUUUAUAAAUUUUUAGGAACAUAAUUAAAGCAAAGACCUUUGUAUAACUUUUAUGACUCUUGAUGUUCCACAUUCUAAUUCUCUUCGGGAUGUGCAUAUUUUCUUAAUGUUGUCCUCUUAUUGUUUCUCCGAAACUCUUUUUACUCUUCAGUUUCAACAACAUAUCUUCUGAACUAUAGGUUGUUUUAAAUAUUAGGAUUAUCAGUACAAACUUGGUGAUACUCAACUGUUUCUGAAUGACAAAGAGGGCAACUUCAUUCGGUUUAACCUAAUGUUUUGUAAAGCCAU
rnacentral:lncRNA from 10 species